GCCGUGCGGGCGCACAGAGAGGCCGAGCGCGCUGUCCCGCCAAGCGCCUCUGGCUUCUCAGACUCCGUGUGCUCAUCAGCAAAUUGGUCGAGGAGAGUGUCUCUGACCUGCUGCUCCAGCCACCCUGCUGUUCCAGAAUGGCCUGCCUUGGAGAAUCCUGCCCCUCUCCCUGUUAAAAGGUGCCUUGGUUCAGAACCCUGUCCACCUUCCUCCAGAUGGCGGGGAGGAAGAAAUCAACACAUCACCCUGCCUAAGGCUUGCUGUUCUGGGAGGUAUUUGCCAUGUUCAUGGACUUUUUCCUUUGUUGCCUCACCUCCCCUCAUCCCUGAUCUGUAAAAGAAGCUGGCAUCCAGACCCCAAUAAGGUAGUUAUUGUGAGACAUUAGUCUGUCGCCUUCUCAGUCAUCUGGCUCUCAACCCCUUGUCUCUGGUUCACUGGCCUGCCGCGCGGCGAGCAGCGUGAGCUUGAACUUGCUGACAAAAGGGCCCAC